UACAACCACUAGGUCAGAUUCUGUAAUACUUCUACCGCAAUCACAAAGAAUAAUUCUUCUGAGAUCAUUGUUGGGCCUGUCACACACACUUAUCCAGUCUUGGAGGAACGGACGUGUUUGAGGAUCAGGAAGUAGUCACCCUGGAGUACAUCACUUUGGUUGGCCUUCUGACUCUUCAGGCCUGGCUCCUGACCCCCCUCUCAACACAAACUCUAUGGUCCAGUCUUUCUCCCUCCUGUAUACUUUUUCUCUUGUGAAAUCUGGACUUUUCUUUCCACGCGGGAGGCAAAUGAUAAUGUAUUCUGGAAGUGACUUAAGUACUCUCUGACCACCGCCCCUCCUUUUAUUUACACGUUGAUAUACAUGAUGAACGUUUUGUAUUUGUACAAUGAUGUAUUCAAAAUUUACUUUGAAGUUGCAAAAUGUUUUUGUGCCAUGUUUUUAUUUUUACUUCGAUAUAGUUUAUCCCAGACCCCCACACUCCCCACCCCUCCUCACAUGCUGUGUACGUACUUGUCUGGAGCAGAAAUUCCAUAUUGAGUGCGCUCCCCUUAUUCCUCACAGGGCAGUACCAGCCUCCGAGGUGUGAUUGUUCGUCUUCAGAGUAACUUAAUUCUGGAAAACAAGUAAAUUAUCUUAUGUGAAAUUGCCAGAAUGUGUAAAAUGUUCUUUAAUAUGUAUCUGCAUAAUCUGUACACAUUUAUAGUGACCUGACAGGUCCUUGCUGUGCACGUACCUGGCUGUACAGUAAACACACAGUAGCUGGUAGCCAUUGUCAUUGACUCUUGAAUGAUGUUGUUUAUCUUUAUCAUUCAGUGCAGUUAAGAGUUCUCUCCCAACAUGAGCUUAUAGUGAUCCUCAUCUGCUCCUAAAACCCAUGACAAUAUGUUUUGGCACGUAUGUUCCACACACUCAGCAUCACAACGGGAAGACUCUUUGACCUGUGACCUGUGUUAUGGAAUGACAUUCUUACUACCCGUGCCCUUAGUGUGGUCCUUUCUCUAUCAUGAAUAGUGUUCCACAAAAGCACCAUUAAAACCUUAAAGUAUCCAUUACUUUUAGUGUCUCUCAUUUGAUUUAUGACCGCUAUUAAUUUGCUUUUUUGUCUUUUUUUUCCCCUCAUUUGUUAUUUUGCUUUUUUUUUUCUCUGCAAUUGUGUCCUGUAUCAUAACAAACAUGUCUUUUCUGAGAAAAUAUUCUCAACACAAUUAUUUAAACCAUGGAUCUGUAAUGUAUCAUAAUAAACAGAAUGUUUUCUUGAAAUAGGAGGACUGGUUGAUGUAUUUUAGUACAAUUAUUGUUUUGCCACCAUCACUGACUUCAUAUACCUAACAAAAUAAAGACAAAAAAAAAACAUUUACUAGAGAUUAUAAUUGAUAGGGGCUACAUUUUAAUGUUUAGUAAUUCCGGUAAAGACUGUAAUAGUAUGAGUUUUAUAAGGGCCAGUUAAAAUAAC
ensembl:lncRNA